rnacentral:rRNA from 1 species
GACGUAGGGGGCAAGCGUUAUUCGGAAUUAUUGGGCGUAAAGCGCUCGUAGGCGGGGGAAUAAGUCCGUGUUGAAAUACCUCGGCUCAACUGAGGACCCGGCUCGGAUACUGUUUUUUCUUGAGGCAUUCAGAGGGUUGAUGGAAUUCCCCGGUGUAGCGGUGAAAAUGCGUAGAUAUCGGGAGGAACACCAGUGGCGAAGGCGAUCACCUGGGGAUGUUCUGACGCUGAGGAGCGAAAGCUAGGGGAGCAAACGGG